rfam:Pteropus alecto contig168862, whole genome shotgun sequence.
GUCUACGGCCAUACUACACUGAACAAGCCCAAUUCUGUCUGAUCUCGGAAGCUAAGCAGGGUCAGGCCUGGUUCAUACUUGGAUGGGAGACCAGCUAGGAAGACCAGGUGCUGUAGGCG